GCAGGUGGGCUGAGUCCCAGGUGAUAACACCACAAAGGGCUCAGGCAGCCAAGGUUGCUCCUGAGCAAGAGUCACUUAUUUGACAUCAUAAGAACAGUCUUCCGGGGCCAGUUUAACACGAUCAACAGUAAACCGAUCUGCCUGGGCUUCCAAACAGGUGAAACGGCCCAUCGGAGAGCCGUGGGGCCGGCAGAGCUGAGAACGUCCAUCUUGUGGGCUGAUCACCUGAUCGCCAGCCGGACACAAAAUGGAGGCGAGGCCUUCUCAGCAGCUCAGGGCUGAGGCGUCGCAGCAAAUGGCUGGAGGGGGUGAAGACGUUCCCUAAAGAACAGUGGGCGUCUGAGCAGAUAAAUAUUCCAGAAUUCUAUGCAGCCAACCAUAAGAGCUCUGCGGCCGUUCACCUGACUGCAGCAGAAUCGAGGCUUGAUGGUUACGGUGGGUGACAGAAGAGGGGCCGUUGGAAGUGCUAUUAUGCAGUUUGCACGGGAAGAUUUCAGCACAUUUCAGCUUUAUCUAGUUAUGCUAGUUUAGAAUUUGGUCAGUUAUUUGAAACAAAAGAUAAAAAUAAAAAACACUGUAUUAUAGUGAAAAUGUUUAUCAGAUGAAGAGCUCAGCUUUAACAACACGCCUUGCCAAAAAGCUUUGCAAAUCGUUCCUCACUUGGGAGCAUGUGAGAAAGGGCUGUAAUAAGAAUAGCUGAGAUUUGCUGGAGCCAAAGCUUACAGAAAGAAGAAUCUGCAGGUUUAAAAAGUUACUUCCUUCUAAGAUGCUACAAGCAAUUCCACUGGCAGAUCCCCAUUCAUGUACCAUAUAAUUGUUUCCUGAUUUGGGAUACCAAAAUGAUAGAAAACAUAUGAGGUUUGAGUAUAAAGUAAUGAGGCACCAAUCUUACAAACAGACCCAAACUUACAUUUUCAAAUCAAUCUUUUCAUUCAGAGGCAUCACCUCCAGAGUCUGUACCCAUUCCAUUUGUAUGGCCAUUCUUCUCUUUAAAAUUACUCUCUUGAUGGACAUCCUGUUUACAAAUCUGUAAUGAGUUCCAAUUAUCAUAUAUUGAGAGAAUUUGUAUUAUCAUUCAGGGACAGUAUUGGUGAACAGAUAGGUGACCUAGCUUGUUUUAGGUAAAGAAGAGAAAGAAAAAGAAGAGAAAGGUUAUAGGAGCCUGGGUGAUAUAAUCAUGUGGCCAGUCUUCUUGUGUGAAUCAGGAACAUAUUCAGAAGAUUAUUCUGAAAGAUGAAUUUCAAAAUAAAUUUUGAACAAAGAGUAGUUUUGGUGAACUGGAAGGAUGGGCUCCAAUAUACCUCAUUCGAAAGACAAUAUACACUUGGGUCUAUGCACACUAAUUUGCUACUUUUUUAAUAUACAUACUCAUUACUUUAUGGCAACACUUUAUAUGAUUUUUGCUGCAUUUACAUCUUGAAAGAGAAAAAAAAUUAUAACCAGAGUAGUUAGAAACUGAAGCUAACAGUAUAUUCUGUAGCUUGGGUCCCGACCAGUUGGUUAUUUUCUUCCAGAUUUGCCAUUUAUAAAUAGAGAGCUUUUACACUUGGUUCCAACUCAUUGGGUUUUGCCUACAGAGUCUUUUAUUUGGGCAUUUCUUCCAUUAGUCACACAAGAACGUCACUCUUUUUACCUUACCAUCAUUAUUUUUGACCCCUAAAAUGGCAUUAUCUUGUUUGGAAUACCCAGUUUAUACAUUAGACUUGACUCAGAAUAAAUUAUCAUUGUUUCUUGAACCAAAAUAAUUCUUAAAGAAAAAAGGAUUCUCAGACUUUAAUGGCAGUCUGUGUACUUUAAAGAAUAUGUUACAGAUUGUGAAAAAAAUUUCAAAAAUUCCUUUUAGUAAUAUUUUGAUCAAGGCUACUCUUGGCUUAAGAGCUCUACUAUUUGAAGGGGACAGCCUUCUGAGUCUCCAAUUUCAGAUUUGUGCAUCUAAAACAUUUCCACAAAAUUAAUUAUCACACAUCUAUUUAUUGCAAAACAUACGAUUACAAAAUUUUAGAUGUAGUGACUAUAAGUCACAUUAGUGCUUUCUCUCUAUGAAUAAUCUUUAACUUAGGGGUUAAAAUCAAUGUAGAAUAAAAGUUGGAUUAAAGGGUAUACUAAACUAAUUUUAAUUGUAAAAUAAAAUCAUUUUCAGAUGUAGUAUCUUAUUUUCUGUGACUCUCUCCCUAUUCCAGGGAAAUAUUUUGCUGGGAGAAAUUGUUACUUUUGACCACAAAAGUUUGGAAUAUGAAAGAACAAAUAUAUUUCAAUGUAUCAUGGAAAAGAAGUAACAAACAAAACAAAAACUUGGUAAUAUUAGAUUUAUCAAUAUACAAUUAUUAACAUUUUAUCUACUGACUUACUUAAAUUAGGUAAAUGUCCAUAGAUUAUAUAAGACACUGUCUUGGCAAGGAAGCCAUCAAACCCGUUAAUAUAUUCCUCUGGGCCAAUUUCUUAUGUGUAGGUUUGGGUAUUUUAAAAGGUAACUAUGUGGAAUAUUUUAAUUCCUCUUUUUAAUUCUCUGUUGCUUUAUUUGGCUUAAAUGGAGGAAUCUAAAAUUUCAUUCGGAGAUAAUCUUUGUAAAUGUGCCUUGAAAAAUCUUUGUAAUUUGUUAAUAUGUUGUUUCGUCCCUUAGCCAUUAGAGCUUAAAAACCAACUCUAAGAACCACCUCUAUAGUUAAGGCUCAAGAAUUUUCUGAACCUUUUAGGCCAAGCUGCCUCCACUCCUUCAGAUUUCCUAUACAUUUCCUAUAACACCAAACAUUAUCAGGCAAAGUUAUAAAAAUGUGAUGGAUCAGUAGGUUAUUUUCAGAGCAAGAGAGGAUUCAAUAAUUUCCUCUAAUCCCAUAUUCUGUAUAUGAGAAAACCAAGACCCAGAAGUAGAAGAUGACUUUGCUCAAGGUCACUUAGUUUACUGGUGACCUUUACACGUUCAGUAAAACGUGAAGAAUUUUUCUAAUAUGUCUUAGGACAUACCCCCUACUCCAUAGAGGGGUAGAAGAAAAAAUAUUGUCUCUUUUUCUUGAUAUCGUAGUAUUUAGCUCGUUCAAUGCAAUUCACAACUGAGAUUUAGAACUCAGUUAGGCUAUGGUGGAGUUUUUUUUUUCCUUGACAAUGAAAAGAUACAUUUUUCGAGAGGAAAUAAAAAAGAAAUCAAGACUAAAUUAGGUCAAGUUUUGAAACCACCAAACUGGAGCUGACUCAAAACUUUUCCAGAACAGUUAGUGCCCCUUCACUAUCAGCAGUGAUGGUAGCUAGCAGCAAACUUGUCUCUGGAGCCCUCACCAGCACUGUAGCAAUGCCAGGGAGGGGGCUGGGACAGCUGUGAUGGGGGGUGGCCCCCUGCCACAGGGA